UCAUAUUGGUUCCUGAACUGCAGAGUGAGU
rnacentral:piRNA from 1 species